AUUGAACGCUGGCGGCAGGCCUAACACAUGCAAGUCGAACGGUAACAGGAAGCAGCUUGCUGCUUCGCUGACGAGUGGCGGACGGGUGAGUAAUGUCUGGGAAACUGCCUGCUGGAGGGGGAUAACUACUGGAAACGGUAGCUAAUACCGCAUAACGUCGCAAGCCCAAAGAGGGGGACCUUAGGGCCUCUUGCCAUCGGAUGUGCCCAGAUGGGAUUAGCUAGUAGGUGGGGUAACGGCUCACCUAGGCGACGAUCCCUAGCUGGUCUGAGAGGAUGACCAGCCACACUAGAACGUAGACACGGUCCAGACGCCUACGGGAGGCAGCAGUGGGGAAUAUGGCACAAUGGGCGCAAGCCUGAUGCAGCCAUGCCGCGUGUAUGAAGAAGGCCUUCGGGUUGGAAAGUACUUUCAGCGGGGAGGAAGGGAGUAAAGUUAAUACCUUUGCUCAUUGACGUUACCCGCAGAAGAAGCACCGGCUAACUCCGUG
rnacentral:rRNA from 1 species